CCACACUGUAGACUGGAGACUCUGAGAUUGAGUAUCUGCAGUUUGUCAGAGAUCAGCUGUGCUUCUCUGGCCUCGGCUCUGAAGUCCAACCCCUCCCAUCUGAGACACCUGGACCUGAGUGACAACAACUUGGAUCAUACAGAUGUGAAGAAUCUGUAUGAACUUUUGGAGAGUCCAGACUUUAGACUGGAGACUCUGAGCUGGAGGGAGCGAUCUUUCUAAAGGAGAGAGUGAAGAGGAUGGUGUGUGUGUUGAGAGAGGACGAGCUGUGUCCUGAUGAUCCAGAGAGGUUGAAGCAGCAGCAGCUUGUGUGCUGCUGAGGAUCAAAAAGUACAGUUUGAUCCUCAAUAGUGUGCAAUGACUGUUGGUAGUGAAUCAAGUAACCAUGGCGAAGUAAGUCGCAAACGAUUGCGAGAACUGUCUUGUUGAAAAAGAAUUUGAAGUCGUGGACAUAAUGAUGAAACCCACAGCUUUUUGAAGCUAUAUUGCUUUGUUAUACAUGUUUAUAUAUGUUAUAAAGGUUCAGCACCCGCCCCCCCCCCCCCGUGUGCGAUCACGUGAUGCAACGUUGACGUCAUCGCGCUACGUCCCUGUUCUGCCGCGACGAGGAUGCGCAUAAUCCGAGGACGAGUACCAGUGAACUUCGUUAUUUCAUAGUCAGUUUAUAACGCACAUAUUUAUAACUCCUGAUAGUACCUGCAGUUCCAGUCGCUGAUGUUUCCAGUUUCAAGUCGCUGAUGAAACGUGAAUGUUGCUGUGUCGUGUCGUUAAGUUUGUUUACUUAUUACCGAGUCGCUAUGCUAGUUAGCACUGUGUAUUUUUCCGCCGCACGUCGUGGCGUCGUAAGGCUGCAUGAAGUUCACUCGUGUGUUUACAUGUCGGUUCAUUUCUGUGUGAACAGUACAGUUAUGUGGCGUUAUAUUGAAAGAGGGAAAUGAGAGGAGGUUGUGUGUUUAAACUUUAUUUGAGCCCAUGUUAAGUUGUUCAUAUUUUUUAUGUGCUCCUUUACUUAGUUGCAUUUAAUGAGGCGGUAUAAUGUGUGUCUGUGUGUGUGUUGAUGAAUGAGCUGAAUGCUGUUUUAUCGCUUAUUUUAGACUGCUGUGAUGCUGUGAACAUCAGCGGUCAAUAAAUACAGUUGGAGCACCGUUCCAAAUCCUGUCCUUCUUUACCUGUGUCCUGACCGACACACCAUCUUGUCUGCUGUUGAACAUUUGAGUAAUCAGCGUACCAGCUUCCUACCUAACAAUAUACAUUAUAUAGGCUAUACAUUUCACAUAAAAACAUGGUUGAAACCUGAAAUAAGUCACAUGACUUGAGAUUAUAUUGAGUUAAAUCAGUAUAUCAAUAUAUCAGUAUUUCAUACCUUUUAUGGUUUUUAUGAAAUCACAGUU